rnacentral:misc_RNA from 1 species
UUAAGUUCAGCGGGUAGUCCUACCUGAUUUGAGGUCAGACGACAUGAAAUUGUCCGAAGACGAUUAGAAGCAUCCUUACACGCGAGACGCGGAACGGCGCCAGAAGUAGACUUAUCACACCGUUGUGACCGAUCUCGCGACGGAACGCUAAUGCAUUUCAAGACGAGCAGACCUUGAGAAGAUGAACAUCCAAAUCGACC